UACGUAGGUGACAAGCGUUGUCCGGAUUUACUGGGCGUAAAGAGCGCGCAGGCGGUCGUUCAAGUCGAGUGUGAAAGCCCCCGGCUCAACUGGGGAGGGUCACUCGAUACUGAUCGACUCGAAGGCAGGAGAGGGUAGUGGAAUUCCCGGUGUAGUGGUGAAAUGCGUAGAUAUCGGGAGGAACACCAGUGGCGAAGGCGGUUCUCUGGGACGGUACUGACGCUGAGACGCGAAAGCGUGGGGAGCGAACAGG
rnacentral:rRNA from 1 species